rnacentral:rRNA from 1 species
GACGAACGCUGGCGGCGUGCUUAACACAUGCAAGUCGAACGGAGCGGCGGACGGGUGAGUAAUGCCUAGGAAUCUGCCUGGUAGUGGGGGAGAACGUCCGGAAACGGGCGCUAAUACCGCAUACUAUCAGAUGAGCCUAUGUCGGUUUAGCUAGUUGGUGGGGUAAAGGCCUACCAAGGCGACGAUCCGUAACUGGUCUGCGGGGAUGAUCAGUCACACUGGAACUGGGACACGGUGCAGACUACUACGUGAGGCAGCGGUGGGGAUUAUUGGGAAAUGGGCGAAAGGCUGAUCCAGCCAUGCCGCGUGUGUGAAGACGGUCUUCGGAUUGUAAAGCACUUUAAGUUGGGAGGCGUUACCAACAGAAUAAGCACCGGCUAACUUCGUGCCAGCAGCCGCGGUAAUAC